CCAUGACAUCCCCAAAGGAAAGGGUGUGUGGCCUGAGAGCUGUAAGAUUUUUAGGAGAUUCCUGGACUCCAUAGUGCCUCCAAGGGAAGGGUGAGGAGUCUGGAAUGCUCUGUUUCUCCAGGCACUAACAAGGGCCUGGGGCAGUCUCUUGUUUGGAAGGAAGGAAAGAAAGAAGAGAAACAUCCUUUUGACUCUCUGCUGGUGACCAUACAUCAAAGAAAUACAUCCACCCUGCCCUGUAAGAGCCUUUCCAAGGUCCAGACGGACACAACUGGACAUUAAUUAAAGUGAUGAAAAGA